UUGACAGGAACUAUUUUUUUCAGGGCAUAGGAGGCUACUUCCUGUGAUGCACUCGAGGUGUUUAUAAACAAAGUGAAAACACGUGGAUUUGAGGGUAGCCCUGUUUGCAGAUGGAAAAAGUCCGAAAAUGCCGUGUGGGUACCCUGUUUUUUGGUGUCAGCUAAUGUGACAGGGCAUAGGAGGCUACUUCCUGUGAUGCACUCGAGGUGUUUAUAAACAAAGUGAAAACACGUGGAUUUGAGGGUAGCCCUGUUUGCAGAUGGAAAAAGUCCGAAAAUGCCAUGUGGGUACCCUGUUUUUUGGUGUCAGCUAAUGUGACAGAUUUAGGUUGUCGGAAGCACGAAAACGUGUAUAGGCCCUAGGACACUUUUCCACUGUCAUACUGAAUGCAAUGUUCCAGUUGAUGAAACGGGAGUAGGUCAGCAUGGUCAGGAAACAGAUUUGUGUGGAUGUUAAAAUAACAGAGGAAGUUGAGUUGCUUAAUAAGUCGGAUGGUAAUGACUGAGGGACGAUGUCUGUAUCAGAUGAUGUUCAAAGUGCAGAUCAAUCUAUGUGGCGAUGCCGAUUUCUCCACGUGGUUCAGAUGGGCUGUUUACCAUGUUUACGGAAGUGGAGUUCUUGGUCUCGCGAGUCCUCGGUGGUAGUGGACUUGGUGACUUUCUUUUGA